UCGAGGGGUAGAGGAAGCUUGCUUCCUUGAGACCGGCGCACGGGUGCGUAACGCGUAUGCAAUCUACCUUUUACAGGGGAAUAGCCCAGAGAAAUUUGGAUUAAUGCCCCAUAGUGUAAUUGAAUGGCAUCAUUUGAUUACUAAAGUUCCAACGGUAAAAGAUGAGCAUGCGUCCUAUUAGCUAGUUGGUGUGGUAACGGCACACCAAGGCAACGAUAGGUAGGGGUCCUGAGAGGGAGAUCCCCCACACUGGUACUGAGACACGGACCAGACUCCUACGGGAGGCAGCAGUGAGGAAUAUUGGACAAUGGGCGCAAGCCUGAUCCAGCCAUGCCGCGUGCAGGAAGAAGCAUCUAUGGUGUGUAAACUGCUUUUGUACGGGAAGAAACACUCCUACGUGUAGGAGCUUGACGGUACCGUAAGAAUAAGGAUCGGCUAACUCCGUGCCAGCAGCCGCGGUAAUACGGAGGAUCCAAGCGUUAUCCGGAAUCAUUGGGUUUAAAGGGUCCGUAGGCGGUUUAAUAAGUCAGUGGUGAAAUCUGGUCGCUCAACGAUCAAACGGCCAUUGAUACUGUUAGACUUGAAUUACUAGGAAGUAACUAGAAUAUGUAGUGUAGCG
rnacentral:rRNA from 1 species